GGAGUACGGCCGCAAGGUUAAAACUCAAAUGAAUUGACGGGGGCCCGCACAAGCGGUGGAGCAUGUGGUUUAAUUCGAUGCAACGCGAAGAACCUUACCUGGUCUUGACAUCCACAGAACUUUCCAGGGAUGGAUUGGUGCCUUCGGGAACUGUGAGACAGGUGCUGCAUGGCUGUCGUCAGCUCGUGUUGUGAAAUGUUGGGUUAAGUCCCGCAACGAGCGCAACCCUUAUCCUUUGUUGCCAGCGGU
rnacentral:rRNA from 1 species